rnacentral:rRNA from 1 species
GACGAACGUUGGCGGCGUGCUUAAUACAUGCAAGUCAACUGAAGCAGUGGUAGCAAUAUCGCUGUGGAGGUGGCGCACGGGUGAGUAACACGUAGGUAAUCUGCCUUCAGGUCUGGCAUAACUCCGGGAAACCGGGGCUAAUAGCAGAUGAUGCAGCGGCUCGACAUCGAGACAGUUGUUAAAGCUAUGGCGCCUGAAGAUGAGCCUGCGUCUGAUUAGCUAGUUGGCGGGGUAACGGCCCACCAAGGCAACGAUCAGUAGCUGGUCUGAGAGGAUGAUCAGCCACACUGGAACUGAGACACGGUCCAGACUCAUACGGGAGGCAGCAGUAAGGAAUAUUGCUCAAUGGGAGAAAUCCUGAAGCAGCAACGCCGCGUGAGGGACGAAGGGCUUUUGCUUGUAAACCUCUGUAGUGAGAGAAAAAAAUCCCAAUCUUUGGGACAUGAUGGUAUCUCAAAAGUAAGCCCCGGCUAACUACGUG